AUGGAUCCAGAAGCUGCGAGAAGUGCAAGAGAAUCUUUGGACCUGGCAUUUCACAUGUCCAAUAUACUCGACACGGGUUUAGACCGUCACGCACUUUCUAUUCUCAUUGCCCUAUGUGAUCUUGGGGUCAAUCCUGAAGCACUUGCUGCUAUUGUUAAGGAACUUAGAAAGGAGAGGCUCCAAGUCUCAUCGUUGCGUCCUACACCUCCUUCUUAA